rfam:Myotis lucifugus cont2.25334, whole genome shotgun sequence.
CUUGAGGGGGGGGGGGGAGUUCCCUCAGCCCAGAUUGCGAGAGGGCACAGGCCAGGCUGAGGGACCCCACCAGUGCAUG